rnacentral:rRNA from 1 species
AGACCCGAAACCCGGUGAUCUAGCCAUGGGCAGGUUGAAGGUUGGGUAACACUAACUGGAGGACCGAACCGACUAAUGUUGAAAAAUUAGCGGAUGACUUGUGGCUGGGGGUGAAAGGCCAAUCAAACCGGGAGAUAGCUGGUUCUCCCCGAAAGCUAUUUAGGUAGCGCCUCGUGAAUUCAUCUCCGGGGGUAGAGCACUGUUUCGGCAAGGGGGUCAUCCCGACUUACCAACCCGAUGCAAACUGCGAAUACCGGAGAAUGUUAUCACGGGAGACACACGGCGGGUGCUAACGUCCGUCGUGAAGAGGGAAACAACCCAGACCGCCAGCUAAGGUCCCAAAGUCAUGGUUAAGUGGGAAACGAUGUGGGAAGGCCCAGACAGCCAGGAUGUUGGCUUAGAAGCAGCCAUCAUUUAAAGAAAGCGUAAUAGCUCACUGGUCGAGUCGGCCUGCGCGGAAGAUGUAACGGGGCUAAACCAUGCACCGAAGCUGCGGCAGCGACACUGUGUGUUGUUGGGUAGGGGAGCGUUCUGUAAGCCUGUGAAGGUGUGCUGUGAGGCAUGCUGGAGGUAUCAGAAGUGCGAAUGCUGACAUAAGUAACGAUAAAGCGGGUGAAAAGCCCGCUCGCCGGAAGACCAAGGGUUCCUGUCCAACGUUAAUCGGGGCAGGGUGAGUCGACCCCUAAGGCGAGGCCGAAAGGCGUAGUCGAUGGGAAACAGGUUAAUAUUCCUGUACUUGGUGUUACUGCGAAGGGGGGACGGAGAAGGCUAUGUUGGCCGGGCGACGGUUGUCCCGGUUUAAGCGUGUAGGCUGGUUUUCCAGGCAAAUCCGGAAAAUCAAGGCUGAGGCGUGAUGACGAGGCACUACGGUGCUGAAGCAACAAAUGCCCUGCUUCCAGGAAAAGCCUCUAAGCAUCAGGUAACAUCAAAUCGUACCCCAAACCGACACAGGUGGUCAGGUAGAGAAUACCAAGGCGCUUGAGAGAACUCGGGUGAAGGAACUAGGCAAAAUGGUGCCGUAACUUCGGGAGAAGGCACGCUGAUAUGUAGGUGAAGUCCCUCGCGGAUGGAGCUGAAAUCAGUCGAAGAUACCAGCUGGCUGCAACUGUUUAUUAAAAACACAGCACUGUGCAAACACGAAAGUGGACGUAUACGGUGUGACGCCUGCCCGGUGCCGGAAGGUUAAUUGAUGGGGUCAGCGCAAGCGAAGCUCUUGAUCGAAGCCCCGGUAAACGGCGGCCGUAACUAUAACGGUCCUAAGGUAGCGAAAUUCCUUGUCGGGUAAGUUCCGACCUGCACGAAUGGCGUAAUGAUGGCCAGGCUGUCUCCACCCGAGACUCAGUGAAAUUGAACUCGCUGUGAAGAUGCAGUGUACCCGCGGCAAGACGGAAAGACCCCGUGAACCUUUACUAUAGCUUGACACUGAACAUUGAGCCUUGAUGUGUAGGAUAGGUGGGAGGCUUUGAAGUGUGGACGCCAGUCUGCAUGGAGCCGACCUUGAAAUACCACCCUUUAAUGUUUGAUGUUCUAACGUGGACCCGUGAUCCGGGUUGCGGACAGUGUCUGGUGGGUAGUUUGACUGGGGCGGUCUCCUCCUAAAGAGUAACGGAGGAGCACGAAGGUUGGCUAAUCCUGGUCGGACAUCAGGAGGUUAGUGCAAUGGCAUAAGCCAGCUUGACUGCGAGCGUGACGGCGCGAGCAGGUGCGAAAGCAGGUCAUAGUGAUCCGGUGGUUCUGAAUGGAAGGGCCAUCGCUCAACGGAUAAAAGGUACUCCGGGGAUAACAGGCUGAUACCGCCCAAGAGUUCAUAUCGACGGCGGUGUUUGGCACCUCGAUGUCGGCUCAUCACAUCCUGGGGCUGAAGUAGGUCCCAAGGGUAUGGCUGUUCGCCAUUUAAAGUGGUACGCGAGCUGGGUUUAGAACGUCGUGAGACAGUUCGGUCCCUAUCUGCCGUGGGCGCUGGAGAACUGAGGGGGGCUGCUCCUAGUACGAGAGGACCGGAGUGGACGCAUCACUGGUGUUCGGGUUGUCAUGCCAAUGGCACUGCCCGGUAGCUAAAUGCGGAAGAGAUAAGUGCUGAAAGCAUCUAAGCACGAAACUUGCCCCGAGAUGAGUUCU